AAUGUUACUUCCUACUUCAGCAGACUUAAUAUAUUGCACCCCUUUCCACCUGGAUGGCGCAUGUGUAGUCCUGGAGGUAUGCUGGUCGGUGCCGGCUUCUGAUCGAACGUCUUAACCCUGCCUCACUCACAGACUCUUGCGAGGAAUUACUUUCCCCAGCAGUUCUAAUAACUACAGAUUCUUUUUAUAAUCUAUCCAGUCUAAAAUCAAAAUCAGAAAUCAGAAGUGGAUUAUUUUCUUUUACCCAAAAAAUUCUCCAAUCAGCAAUAUACAUAAUUUUUUUUUGACCAAAGAAGUUAAUUUAGCAAGUUCUAUCGUUUUCACCAACCGUUCCUCCAUUGUGAAUAAUGCAGUGGUGGGUUGCUACCAGUUCGCCCCAAAUUGGGCGAAUCAGUAGUGGCAGCAGCGGGAGGCUCCACCCACCUGCCCGGACAUCUCUGCACAUGCAUUACUGGAAAUCCACUACUGGAAUAAUGCCAAAUCUUUCCAUCUUUGUUGGAAUACAAUAAUCUUGCUGCAGUUAUCAAAUAUAAAACAAAGUUCCACGACUAA